rnacentral:piRNA from 1 species
GGGUCGUGAAGUUGUAGCUGUCUGUCUGGGAA